AUGCCCGCCGGCGAGGGCAAGGAUCCAGGGUCGUCACGCGCAGAGGAGCAGGAUAUUAAAGGAGAUGAUGAAGAGAAUAAGGGAGGCAUUGAUCAACCCGAGGGCCCAACAGUUGAUAAAGAGAAGAAUGACACAACUGCAAGUCAGAUCUUGAAGAUUGACGAAGAUACAGUGGAUGUCGAAAGCGAACAGUACCACGGGAAUGAUGACCUAACUGAAACCGAUGUGUCCAACGACCUACUUUGUGCUGGAGUAAAAAAUUUGAUUGUGAAGAGCUUUAAAAGGAAGCAAAGACGGACCAUUGUACGAAAGGGGAGCAUAAAGUUCCCCCUUUUGAUGUACACAGAGACCAAGACUAACUGA
rnacentral:rRNA from 1 species